rnacentral:rRNA from 1 species
GAUGAACGCUGGCGGCGUGCCUAAUACAUGCAAGUCGAGCGAAUGGAUUAAGAGCUUGCUCUUAUGAAGUUAGCGGCGGACGGGUGAGUAACACGUGGGUAACCUGCCCAUAAGACUGGGAUAACUCCGGGAAACCGGGGCUAAUACCGGAUAACAUUUUGAACCGCAUGGUUCGAAAUUGAAAGGCGGCUUCGGCUGUCACUUAGGGAUGGACCCGCGUCGCAUUAGCUGGUUGGUGAGGUAACGGCUCACCAAGGCAACGAUGCGUAGCCGACCGGAGAGGGUGAUCGGCCACACUGGGACUGAGACACGGCCCAGACUCCUACGGGAGGCAGCAGUGGGGAAUCUUCCGCAAUGGACGAAAGUCUGACGGAGCAACGCCGCGUGAGUGAUGAAGGCUUUCGGGUCGUAAAACUCUGUUGUUAGGGAAGAACAAGUGCUAGUUGAAUAAGCUGGCACCUUGACGGUACCUAACCAGAAAGCCACGGCUAACUACGUGCCAGCCGCCGCAGUAA